CACGUAGGGCGCAAGCGUUGUCCGGAAUUAUUGGGCGUAAAGGAGCUCGUAGGCGGUCUUGUUGCGUCCGCUGUGAAAACUCGGGGCCUUAACCCCGAGCCUGCAGUGGAUACGGGCAGACUAGAGGUAGGUAGGGGAGAAUGGAAUUCCCGGUGUAGCGGUGAAAUGACGCAGAGUAUCGGGAGGAACACCGGUGGCGAAGGCGGUUCUACUGG
rnacentral:rRNA from 1 species